rnacentral:rRNA from 1 species
UACGGGGGGGGCAAGCGUUGUUCGGAAUUACUGGGCGUAAAGGGCUCGUAGGCGGCCAACUAAGUCGGAUGUGAAAUCCCCAGGCUUAACCUGGGAACUGCAUCCGAUACUGGAUGGCUUGAAUUCGGGAGAGGGAUGCAGAAUUCCGGGUGUAGUGGUGAAAUGCGUAGAGAUCCGGAGGAACACCAGUGGCGAAGGCGACACGCUGGGUCAUACCUGACGCUAAAACGCGACAGCAUGGGGAGCGAACGGG